AUUGAUGCUGCACCAAUAGAUUAUCACAAUAAUAAAAGGAUUAUUUCAGCUUUAAUUUUUAAAUCUGGUUUUGUUAAUGGUAAGUAGUGGUACUUUAGUAUUGAUACAUUUGAACACUUCUUACCAGCUUCAAUGCAUCCUUGGGUUAAGCAUACGUCUAAUGGUUGCUCAUCUGGAAGAGAAAUAUAAAGAUUCCGAUUAAGAUUACUACAGUGAUUUACAAAUUGUGAAUGUGAAACAAAUUGCAGAUUUGAUUUGAAAUAAACUGAGGAUAAGUAAAAAUAUCUAGCUAAAGAUGAUCUACCGGAUGGAAAGACUGAUUGCCGCAAAACAUAAAUCUUCAUUUAAAGAUGCAGCAAGAAAUAAGUCAUUGUCAUACAAUUUCCAGAUUGGCCAUCAUCCGAUUGAAUCAUUGUUUACCAAUUUUAAUUUGUUUUCCAACUGAGGAUUGACACCAAAGGGUUAAGAACCAAUAUCAAUUGAUUGGUAAAGUCGAUUAUCAAUGGAAAGUAACUUAUGGUCACGGAAAAAGUACUACAAAACCAAUCAAUAAUAGGAUGAUUGAAAAGCGUGAAUACAACUUUAAUAAACUUUCAAUAACUUGAAAUGGCCAAGGGUGUGCAUAAAUCAACAAUAAAAUUGGGUUUCAGAAGGUAAAUGGUCCAACUGAGAACAUCAUCAAGUACAAUCUAUUUUGGUACAUCUCAUAACAAACCAAUUAUCACCAUUAUCACCACUUUCAUCAUCAGUAUUUUCUGCUUGUGGUUAAUUUGAGUGGAAGGUGGCAAAAUGUGAUUCAUGAUCGGUAAACAAUCAAAUCUGAAUCUUGAAAAAUGAGUAAAAAGGUUAAACCCUAUGUACAAUUGCAAUCGAUGAAAACGAACUUAGGAAUCUAUCAUUGAAUUGGCAUUCGUUCGCUCAUGGAUACUUUUUACUGGAUUUGUUUUUUGGAUUAUAUUUGCUGAUAUGAAGUUUAUCUUGUGGUAUCAUAACUAAAUAAACCUACGCGUUCAUUUUCCUGAUGCCUUUUCUUGCUGACUGUUUUGUUCUUUAACUCAACAUAACGCCUAAUAAAUAAGUUACAAUGAACGAAAUGGAAAUGAAGCAGCUUCAAUAGGUUUGAUAAUGGUCAUGAAAUAUUUGGUCUUUUGCUAUUCAAGGCUGUCAAGAGUUCAACGAAGUUUAAUGAUAAAAAGAGAGGCAACAUUUGAAUACGAAGAAUUAGAUUUCUUGAGUUGCUGAAAUUUUAACUGCAUUGAUUUAUGUUUUCACGUUUUUUACUGUUCGUGGCCACUUCACUACCUGAUGUGAACGUAAACAUUUUGGCAAAUAUAAACACCUCGAUGAUUAAUUUGAAUGAUUGAUAAAUUGUUACCUUUGUGUUGAUGGAAAACGAUGUACAAAAUAAGGAGAAAAAGGCAUAAAAGUGAUGUUAUUGUUAUAAACCGAUGGCCAAUGGUUCGCAAAUUUUUACGACUUUGGUGAUCAAACCUGGUGAAAAUCGUUUGCCAAACAAGGAACACAAGUGAUUAUAAUCACAACUGUCAUUGUAUUAAUAAUGAUGACAAAUCUGACAAGAUCUUGAAUAUUUUUGUCAUAGUUGAUGCUAACUUAUUUACAAAAAUUUAUUCAAUCACAUGUCACGCUGAAAACUCGUCAAGGAAUGAAGAAAAUAGAUUUUUGGUUCACAAUUUUCUUACCUGUUAAAGCCUGUUGUUGUCGCUUUCGUCGUCGUUGUCUUGCCAUCAAUAGGAUUUUGAUUUAAAUCAAUGGCAGGAUUGGACAUUUACUCGGUAUAAUGAUGAAAUGAGUGAGAUCAACAUAAAAAACUAUUUAAUUGCUUUUAAUCAUCAACUGAGAAUGAUAUUUACAAAAACAAAGUAUCAAGAAGCACAAGCAAACAAACACAAAGUUGUAGUCGAAAUUGGAAGUCAAAGUAUAAAUAAUACAAAAAAGAUGAAGAACGAACGAACGUGUUGAACGAAGAAACAAAAGCGAUGAAAAAGUACGAACAAAGGAAAAAAGAAAAGACUUGAAAUGAAAAGUAAAAUAAAUUAAAAGACUUGAUUAAACAGAGAGAAAAGCUCGAUCUGUUCGAUUUGAUGGUUAAAGGCUUGUCUGGUUUUCAAUCUUGAAAAAACUCUCACUCAACUUGUUUGUUCACUCUUACACCAUUUUUGCUCCCUCCAUCAUCAUCAUCAUCAUCAUCAUCAUCAACAACAACAUCUACUGCAACAAUGACUCAAUGUUUUGGAAAUAUCAACCCAAUCUUGAAGUCAAAAUCAGUGGGUGAUUUGGUACGGAGAUACAGAAAUCCAAAUUUCCUCAGAAAAUUUCAAUGUGCCAUUGAUUAGGAUGAUAAGGAUAAUGAUAUCACUGCAAAGAUUGGAAAGAAAGUUCAACGUGUGAAAAGCGUUGGUGUUGAAUCUAUUCAAAAAUGUCCGAAUACAAGAACAAAGAGGACGAAAAAGAUGAUUAAAGAAAGAUUACUAAAAGUUAUUAAGAUUGUCCGAAAGAUAGCCUUUCUGGAUUCUUGGGUGUGUUCAAUUGAUUACGCUUUAUACUUGCGUUAUUUGGGUUUCCAUCUUUAACCAAGGAAUGGCCUCUUGAAAGAUUUGCAACAAUUGAUGCAAAUAUAACUGUUGAUGAAUUGAACCUCACACCUUUGCGUAUUUAUUGUUGAUUGGCACGAGUUGAAUCGAGAGACUUUUUGUUGAAAUAAGAAAGUUGAAUAAUCAAUAAGAUGGACAACAAUUGAUCAUGAGUGACGGUCAUGUAAAUUGAUUAAAUGGGCAAAAUCAAGAAUGGUGUAACAAAUUGUUCUCCUGUUGGACUGUUUAUUCCAAUUUUCUUUGCAUACAUUUGCUGUUAUGCUAUUGUAUUAGCAAUACUAGUCUGAAUACGGAUGGAACUUGUGAUGUUAUUUUUAAUUCGUAACCAAGUAAUUUUAUUAAUGCCGACACAUCACUUCUCAUUGACUUUAAUAUAACAGGAUUUCACUGAUUCAGGAUGGUAAUCGUUGUUGGUUAAUGGCGAAAAAUUUAAAGAUUUUUAAAGGUUAUGGAUAAUAUGUAACACUUAAACAUUGAUUUUGUCAAGGAAAACUUAUGAAGGGAAAACUUUGAAUUCAUUUUGAUACAUGUUUCAUAUUGCUUUUACAAACUGUAAUAAUUUUUACUCAAUCAGCUCAUUAGCUUAUUAAUUAUCUGAAUGGUUCUUCAUUUUAUUCACCCUCACAUAUAAUACAAUUUUGUUUAAACUAAAUUUCUCGAGAGAUUUGUAAUUGCCGGAAACGACAUUCUGAUCUUUACUGGUUAAUUGUCUGUUAUUUAAUUAUCUAUCUAUCUUUCUCUAAUUUAAUUCAUAUGUAUUAUUAUUUUAUUAAUAUUUCCGUCCUUGCCAAUUACAACUGACAAAUUACAAUUUUAUGCAGCAAUUUAACUUAAAUUCACAAGUUUUAUUGCAAAUGGUGCCCAUGAAAGGCGAAAAAAUUGAAAACCUCAAUGCAUUAUAUGUAUCAUCGUAUUACUGAAAUUAAAAUUCAUUGUAAAAUUUA